rnacentral:lncRNA from 1 species
CAACAUCCAGGAGGACAAGCCCUCUUUGUGUGACAUAAAACAGACAAUAGUAUAUAAACAGAGCAACUCAGAACUACCAGUAACAUGAAAAAAUAGUCUGCAGUCUGACAGAACUAUUUACCUUCAGUUGCACCACUGUUAUGUCGUCACCACCGUCGACUUGAACAACAUAUCAGUAAAUCUUAUCUUUUUCCUUAGCUACAUUGCCUUGUUGUUCAAAUUCAGCCACACUCAUGAAGUAUCAUGGAACUACCUACAAAAUAUAUGAAUUGUAGUCUCUCACUAAAAAUCAUUCUUAUUCAUGUAAGCAAUAACGAGAAGAAAGAAAGCAGAACAAAUUUCAAGUACUAAUUGUGUAAGCAUAUCUUUACAAGAAAUAUAAAUUGCAUAUGAACACCUUAUCAUCAUGUGGCCCAUUUUCUUGCAGGUAAUUUGUUCAAAGUUCAUAAUUGACGCACUAUUUCUAUAGAAGAAGAAAAAACAGUAAGAAAGAAAUACAUCUCAAGUCAAAGACUUACGCGCCAAGAGUUAAUGUUGCCAUGAAGGACCCCUGAAGUGGAACCUCUACAAAGCGUCGAACCGACCCCUAAAAAUGACACUUUAUACAAGAUUAUUUUUUCAGAAACUUGCAAAUAUAAAGAACAACCUUAUUUGAAAUUAAGGCACAUAGUACAUAAUGUGAAUAGUUGAAUACAUACUAUUGGUCUUUACCUCCUGACCACUGAUAACCACCUUUAACAAUUCCACUUUACGUCCAUCAAAAUUUACUGCAAAGUACAUAUCCAACACAUUCCUAAAAGCCUGCCAGAGAAGCAAACAAGACCAAUUCAUCAGACCUCAUUUUAUAUAACAUUGCAUGCCCAAAUGACAAAAAAAUUACUUUUGAUUUCAUGCCACUUAUAAGACUAAACAAGUUAAACCACUGUUGUUAAAUAGAGUUAAAUCCAUUGAUAUCAGAUUUACCGUUCAUGUUAAAUAGAGUUCCAAAGUCAAUGCUGCCCUUGAAAGGAAGAGAAUGCUCUACUAGUUAAAGCUCCAUAAACUAAUCACCUUGCUACUGCCCCUGAGAAUAGACAAUUGAGGACCUAAGAAUGAUACUCUGUAUACAGUAGAAACUUUGAAUGGUUGAACAUCAGAUGCUCAGGUCCAUCUCUUCGAGUCUGUAGCUAACCUUAUAGCACCUAUAACCAUAAAACACGACCUUAGAAGCAUAGAACUGUCUAUGUCUUGAUAAUUAAAGCCAAUUGCGCAAAGAAGUUACUGGACAAACAUAAGAAAAAAAAAGUUCAUGAGAUUUAGAACAGAAUAAUCACUAAGACACACAACUCACUUGAAUAUAAAAUUAAGUAAAUGUAUAAACGAAUACUAGUGUAGCAUGGCUUACUACAACUGCAAGCUGCAAACAGAUACACAAACCAUUUCAGUUAUUCUAGCUCUUAGUGAACAACAUGCAAACACAUAAAUAACAUAAGGAGCCUAGACAUACCAAGAGAUACUAGAUUCAACCCCAUGAAAAUUAUCAACCUGAAUCAAUAAAAGAAAGCUUUAAAAAAAUUGAACAAGUAGAAUGUAUUAACAAGAAUAGGGCAGUAAGUAUUCUAUAUAUUAUAUAAUGGAACUACUUUGCAAACACCACCUAUCGGAAAUCAAUGCAGUAAUAUCUACAACUUCCCCUGACUCAAAGUCAUGGAAUGCUUAAAGCUUUGGAAGUUGGGAGCAUAGUCAGAUAUGCAAAUGGAGAGGUUGUCUUUUGCUUUCAUGGCAGUGGGAGUAGGCAUUCUAUUAUCUACCAGAAGCUUAAAGCUUUGGAAGUUGUGCUAGGCUGUGUAUUGAAGCUGGAUAUCAUCUAAACAUACUAUACCAUAGUACUGCAAGGAUCUUAUAGCUUCUAUCAGGAUUAAUCCAAGGAAGUGUGGAAGUAUAAGUUUCGCACACAUAUAGAGAGAGAUAAACAGGGUUGCAGAUCUGUUAGCCUCCCUAGACAAGUCGGACUUGUGUAAUUUUAUUUGUUUUACUCCUCCCCUUAAUCAGAAUUUGUCAAACAUUGUAAGGGAGGAUAUUAUAACUAUUUAUGGUAGAUUUUUCUAAUACAGGUUAGGGUCUGCCUCAACCCAUAAUUCUUCCAAAUAAUAAAUAAAAAAAGUCAUGGAAUGCUUUUAGAAACCAUACUUGAGCAACCCCAUGUCCAUAGCCAUUCAUUACACAAGAUUGAGAUAUAACAUUCUAAUUAACACAAUUUAAAAAUAAAAAAUGACAAAAAUACAAUGAGCUUAUUAUAUGAAACUCUUUGAAACUAACAUUAAUUGCAUGAACUGCAAAAGUGAAUCUAGCCAAAGGAGUUCCAGGAAUAUCCCUACUCAAUCCCCUCUUGAGUCCCUUUCAAACACACAUGCCAUCACCCUGACGACAUUUUCCAAACCUCUAUUAAAUGCAAAUCAUUUUUUCCUAAUUAUACCAUCUAUGGUAUAUCAAAGCCAUUCCAAGACUUUCAACCACCACGUUGACAGUUUUGUACUAAACCAAAAUUAAUUCAUUAAACAACAAAUAUAUUGAUUGCCAUGUUAUAAAGAAAUUUAAAAACAAUGCCUCGACAGUUCAUGAGCACCUAUACUGUUCUAUCACCUGCCAACUAUUCGAUUAGCUUAUUUCAUCCAAAAAUAUUUGACAUCCAUGUUCUGCUAUAGUUUUGAUAGCCCACAUAAUAGACAUUCAUGCAUUCAGAAGUUGAGCAAAAUGUGAACCACUAAUAGGAACACUAAUUAAUAUCAGAAGAUGCCUAGUUGAGCAAAUGAAUUCAAAGUUUCAAAUAUAGUUUCAGGAAAAAUCUGAAGUAAUGAACCAAACCAAACAUCCUCGACCAUCCGCCACCUUGAAUUUUUUACGUGGUCUGAAGUCCCUAUCAGACCUAUUCCUUGAUGGACGAUGGUACCUCUGCUCUGAGGUCUAUAUAAUUCUGACCAUCAUGUUACUCCUCUCAUCCAAUGUAAUUCAUUCUUCCUAUACACAUAGUGUUUUGGUCUGUUAGUUGACUCAGUUCAUGUGAAUAACACGUAUUCAUGUCAUCGUAUUUCUUCUACUGGCCAGUUGCAGGAACAGCUGAUGCAUAACAACAUGGCCUAUAAACCACAAGGUCGGGUUUGUUUCUCCUAACAAUUCAACUUGUUGGCCACUUGAAUUAAAAUCUAUGAUUCUAAAUUUCUAAUCACCAAGAGUCUGGAACACAAAUUGGUCUGAAAGUAUAAGGGAUGGCCUAUAUAUAUAGGCUGGUCAUUUGCAAGUAGCACAAGGAAAAUAAAAAAAACUGUACAACCCAUUGAAAUGAAGAAGAUUUUAGAGUCAAAGCAAAGUUUAAGAAAACCUAGUAAAGCAAGUGUCUGAAAGAGUAGUUUUUAAGGGUCAAGCACCUCUCUCUUUUCAUCUUAAGAAGGGAUGCAUGAAAGAGGAACACACCUUGAAAAGAUGAUAGAAACGUCUACCAACAACAGUUGUUCUUUACAAAUAGACUCAAAUAAAAUACCAAGUGCAAUUAAAUGAUGGCUAGUAUUGUGAUUUCUAUUAAUAACAAGAACUAACUUGGUAGCAACAAAACCAAGUGCAGUCAAAUCAAUUGACAAAAAAAAUUCAAAAUAAAAUUUCUGUCUCAAGCAGUAACAGAACACACUUAAAUAUAUGGCAAUUCAUCCAAGUAUACUUAAAAUGAUUGAAACAGAUUAUCGACCAAAUUAUCUUUUCUGCCAAUUUAUAGAAUAAAAAAAUGAGGUUAGGGAAGAAAUUGAAAUAAACAAGAAUCUAAACAAACUGAAAAAUAUGAACGAAAACGCAACAAAUAAACCCUAAUUUUUGAAAUCCAACCAAACUUUCUACAACAAAAAAAACCAACAAAGAACCCUAGUGAAAAUCCCCGCCCAUACAUAAACACGAAAAAAAAAUUACAAGAUACUACAAUAAAAGAAAAAAAAAAAAAAAAAAAAAAAAACUUUACCUUUAACUUUUAGAUCUUUGUCACUUUCUUCAACCUUAUACACAAAACCUUGAUUUUUUACUUCAAAUUGCAAAGACUUUGGCGAGGAAGACGAAUGGGGGUAGAAUAUUUUUCAUGGUGGAAUAGGAAGAAGACUUGAAGAGAGGCGGAGUUGGGAUCGGGGAAGUUUUAUUUCUCGAGGAAGUUUUUUUUUUACUAAC